rnacentral:rRNA from 1 species
UACGUAGGGGGCAAGCGUUGUCCGGAAUAAUUGGGCGUAAAGAGUGUGUAGGCGGCUAGGUAAGUAUGUCGUGAAAGUCCAGGGCUCAACCCUGGAAUGCCGGUGGAUACUGCCGGGCUGGAGUCCGGAAGAGGCGAGUGGAAUUCCUGGUGUAGCGGUGAAAUGCGCAGAUAUCAGGAGGAACACCGAUGGCGAAGGCAGCUCGCUGGGACGGUACUGACGCUGAGACGCGAAAGCGUGGGGAGCAAACAGG